ACAGGGUGUGGUGGCACAUGCCUGUAAUCCCAGCUACUCAGGAAGCUGAGGCAGGAGAAUCACUUGAACCCAGGAGGCAGAGGUUGCAGUAAGCUGAGAUCACGUGACUGCACUUCAGCCCGGGUGACAGAAUGAGACCGUUUAAAAAAAAAAAAAAUUAAUGCAAUCUAGUGUCAAUUAGAUGUACAUUGCUGAGGUCUUUUAUCUGUUGUAGAUUUUUCCCCCUUUUUAUUGCAUCAGGCAUAUUGCCCUGUAAAUUGUGGUAGUGAUGGCAGGAAUAAAAAAUUAAGUAAUUUUAUUGGGAGCAGAGGACUGUCAAGUUGACUGAGGAGGGGUAAACUGGCCCAGGUUGGAAACAGAGCAGGUCAAAAUUCUCAGGCUGAUCAGUCGUGGAGUCACACCUGUGAGUAGCCACUGCACUUUGUCCUGGGCAGCAAGAGAGACCCUGUCUCUA
rnacentral:SRP_RNA from 1 species